rnacentral:rRNA from 1 species
GUUGAACGCUGGCGGCAGGCCUAACACAUGCAAGUCGAACGAGUGGCGGGCGGGUGUGUCAUGUCUGUGAACCUGCCCGAUGGAGGGGGAUAACUACGGGAAACGGUACCUAAUACCCCAUACCUUCGGAUGUGCCCAGAUGGGAUUGGCUAUUAGGUGGGGUAACGGCUAACCUAGGCGACGAUCCCUAGCUGGUCUGAGAGGAUGACCAGCCACACUGGAACGGAGACACGGUCCAGACCCCUCGGGGAGGCAGAAGUGGGGAAUAUUGCACAAGGGGGGAAAUCUGGACGCAGCAAGGCCGGGUGGAUGAAGAGGGCCUUCGGGUGGAAAAGUACUUUCAUCGAGGAGGCGUUACUUGCAGAAGAAGCACCGGCUAACUCCGUGCCAGCAGCCGCGGUAAUUC